rnacentral:tRNA from 1 species
GCGAUGGUGGCGGAAUUGGUAGACGCGCUGGCUUCAGGUGCUAGUAUCUUCAGGAUGUGAGGGUUCAACUCCCUCCCUUCGCACCA